rnacentral:rRNA from 1 species
GACGAACGCUGGCGGCGUGCUUAACACAUGCAAGUCGAACGGAAAGGCCUCUUUCGGGGGGUACUCGAGUGGCGAACGGGUGAGUAACACGUGAGUAACCUGCCCUUGACUUUGGGAUAACUUCAGGAAACUGGGGCUAAUACCGGAUAGGAGCUCCUGCUGCAUGGUGGGGGCUGGAAAGUUUCGGCGGUUGGGGGUGGACUCGCGGCUUAUCCGCUUGUUGGGGGGGUAGUGGCUUACCACGGCUUUGACGGGUAGCCGGCCUGAGAGGGUGACCGGCCACAUUGGGACUGAGGUACGGCCCAGACUCCUACGGGAGGCAGCAGUGGGGAAUAUUGCACAAUGGGUGGAAGCCUGAUGCAGCAACGCCGUGUGCGGGAUGACGGCCUUCGGGUUGUAAACCGCUUUCGCUCAUGACGAAGCUUUGUGUGACGGUAGUGGGUAAAGAAGCACCGGCUAACUACGUG